CUCUCGGAUAACGGGGCAGGCCGGUGGCCCACGCAGCCCACCAGCUUGCAGGGAGGGCAGACCCUGGGGGAUGUGAGGGAGGCUUUCUCACGCAGACCCUAAAACGGUGAGCGCCAGGGAGCCCCGCCUGCUUGUCCCCUCCCCAGAUCCCUCGGGCUCUGGAGACCUUGCGGGCCCCCUGUCCGUGACCACCUGAAACAGGUCCUGGAGCUGCUACUGCUGGCUUAGGCUGGUUGGUGGAAAGGAUCCAGGGCUGUUGUGAAGGCCUUGGGGAGUCCAGAAGCCGCCUGGCACCUUCUGGGUCCAGACGCUGCCCUUCAGCCCUGCCAUUUCAGCCAGCCUCAGCGUCGCUGUAGAGGCAGGCCGCCCUUUCUGCCACUGUCUGGCUGGGCUGGGCCGUGGGAGUGCUGGCCAACGUGCCAGGCAGGGAGGACCUGAAUUCCUGAAGGUGGUGGUGGCAGCUGUUAGGGUCCACAGGUUAAUGAUCUCCAACGUCACACAGAAGAGAAUGUGCUGAGGUGUGACCUCCCUCACCCUGCCUUGGCUGCGUGGGGCACCGUCUCUCCAGGACUCACCCUGCCCCCCAAUAGACUGAAGUCUGAAGAUCAGCCCAGUCUUCCUUCAGGCCUCAAUGCCCUCUCACUUCCCCAGCCCGAGGGACUCCUGGCUCUUCUCGGAGGCUGCUCUGUGGGGUCCCUCCCUUGGGCCUUUGCUAAUGCUGUGCCCUCUGCCUGUGCCAGAGGUGGGCCUGGGCCCGUUUCUCAGGGAGCUCCUGAACACCAAGAAAUUGAAUUGCUUUGUAAAUAAACAAAAAGUGCCAAACAAGCCUGCCUGUCACUUGGGAGAUGGCCCGUCUCUG
rnacentral:lncRNA from 1 species